rnacentral:rRNA from 1 species
GCAUANACAUGCAGUCGUACCNGAGGAUGAGCCCACAGCUUGCUGGGGUACUCGAGUGGCGAACGGGUGAGUAACACGUGGGUGAUCUGCCCUGCACUUUGGGAUAAGCUUGGGAAACUGGGUCUAAUACCGAAUAUGACCACUUCUUGGAUGUUGUGGUGGAAAGCUUUUGCGGUGUGGGAUGAGCCUGCGGCCUAUCAGCUUGUUGGUGGGGUAAUGGCCUACCAAGGCGGCGACGGGUAUCCGGCCUGAGAGGGUGUACGGACACAUUGGGACUGAGAUACGGCCCAGACUCCUACGGGAGGCAGCAGUGGGGAAUAUUGCACAAUGGGCGCAAGCCUGAUGCAGCGACGCCGCGUGGGGGAUGAAGGCCUUCGGGUUGUAAACUCCUUUCGCUAUCGACGAAGCCACUUGUGGUGACGGUAGGUAGAUAAGAAGCACCGGCUAACUACGUGCCAGCAGCCGCGGUAAUACGUAGGGUGCAAGCGUUGUCCGGAAUUACUGGGCGUAAAGAGCUCGUAGGUGGUUUGUCGCGUCGUCUGUGAAAUCCCGGGGCUUAACUUCGGGCGUGCAGGCGAUACGGGCAUAACUUGAGUGCUGUAGGGGAGACUGGAAUUCCUGGUGUAGCGGUGAAAUGCGCAGAUAUCAGGAGGAACACCGAUGGCGAAGGCAGGUCUCUGGGCAGUAACUGACGCUGAGGAGCGAAAGCAUGGGUAGCGAACAGGAUUAGAUACCCUGGUAGUCCAUGCCGUAAACGGUGGGCGCUAGGUGUAGGGGGCUUCCACGUCUUCUGUGCCGUAGCUAACGCAUUAAGCGCCCCGCCUGGGGAGUACGGCCGCAAGGCUAAAACUCAAAGGAAUUGACGGGGGCCCGCACAAGCGGCGGAGCAUGUGGAUUAAUUCGAUGCAACGCGAAGAACCUUACCUGGGCUUGACAUGUACCGGAUCGGGCUAGAGAUAGUCUUUCCCUUGUGGUCGGUAUACAGGUGGUGCAUGGUUGUCGUCAGCUCGUGUCGUGAGAUGUUGGGUNAGUCC